AUUGAACGCUGGCGGCAGGCCUAACACAUGCAAGUCGAGCGGAUGAAGGGAGCUUGCUCCUGGAUUCAGCGGCGGACGGGUGAGUAAUGCCUAGGAAUCUGCCUGGUAGUGGGGGAUAACGUCCGGAAACGGGCGCUAAUACCGCAUACGUCCUGAGGGAGAAAGUGGGGGAUCUUCGGACCUCACGCUAUCAGAUGAGCCUAGGUCGGAUUAGCUAGUUGGUGGGGUAAAGGCCUACCAAGGCGACGAUCCGUAACUGGUCUGAGAGGAUGAUCAGUCACACUGGAACUGAGACUCGGUCCAGACUCCUACGGGAGGCAGCAGUGGGGAAUAUUGGACAAAGGGCGAAAGCCUGAUCCAGCCAUGCCGCGUGUGUGAAGAAGGUCUUCGGAUUGUAAAGCACUUUAAGUUGGGAGGAAGGGCAGUAAGUUAAUACCUUGCUGUUUUGACGUUACCAACAGAAUAAGCACCGGCUAACUUCGUG
rnacentral:rRNA from 1 species